GAUGAACGCUGGCGGCGUGCCUAAUACAUGCAAGUAGAACGGUAAAGCAAUGAGCUUGCUCUUUCCGGAUGAGUUGCGAACGGGUGAGUAACGCGUAGGUAACCUGCUUGGUAUCGGGGGAUAACUAUGGGAAACGAUAUCUAAUACUGCAUAACAGUAGGUGUGGCAUGACGACUAGGUGAAUGGGGCCAUUGCUGCACUACCAGACGGAUCUGCGGUGUAUUAGCUAGUUGGUGAGGUAACGGCUCACCAAGGGGGCGGUACAUAGCCGACCUGAGAGGGUUGUCGGCCACACUGGGACUGGGACACGGCCCAGACUCCCUCGGGAAGGAGCCGGAGGGAAACUUCGGCCAUGGGCGGAAGUCUGGACGCACAACGCCGCGGGAGGUGAGAAAGUCUUCGGGUCGGAAAGGUCUGUUUUAAGGGAAGAAAGAGUGUGAGGGUGGAACGCCGCUGCUGUGACGGUAUCUUACGAAAAAGCACCGGCUAACUACGUG
rnacentral:rRNA from 1 species